rnacentral:rRNA from 1 species
CCCUUAGAUGUUCUGGGCCGCACGCGCGCUACACUGAUGCAUUCAACGAGCACCCGCUGGGCCGAGAGGUCCGGCUAAUCUUUGAACGUGCAUCGUGCUGGGGAUAGAUGAUUGCAAUUAUUCAUCUUCAACGAGGAAUUCCUAGUAAACGCAAGUCAUCAGCUUGCAUUGAUUACGUCCCUGCCCUUUGUACACACCGCCCGUCGCACCUACCGAUUGAAUGGUCCGGUGAAAUUCUCGGACGCGGACUUGCGAUGUUAAUUCGGAGCUUGACUGUGAAAGUUAAUUAAACCUUGCCAUUUAGAGGAAGGUGAAGUCGUAACA